AGCUCCAAAGACCCUUGGGCUGACAGAGCAGGUUCUCAUUUCUCAGCUCUUUCCCUUAUCACUUGCAGUGAACUCUGCCCCCAGGAGCAGAGUAUCCAGUUCUGUGUCCAAGCACUCUAUGAAUCUUUACCCUUGUUGAAGAAAUACUCAGAAGCAUUUAGAAACGGAAAAGUUUACUUGCAAAGAGAGCAAGAGAAUGACUGGCUUGCCAAAUAAAAAACGGUGCAAAGCCUUUCUUUUCUGAUGGUGAUUGAUAUAGUUUGGCUGUGUCUCCACCCAAAUCUCAUCUUGAAUUCCCAUGUGUUGUUGGAGGGACCUGGUGGGAGGUAACUAAAUCAUAGGGACAGGUCUUUCCCGUGCUGUUCUUGUGAUAGUGAGGAAGUCUCACGAGAUCUGAUGGUUAUUAUAAGAGGGAGUUUUCCUGCACAAGCCCUCAUUUUGCCUGCUGCCAUCUAUAUAAGAUGUGAUUUGCUGCUCCUUGCAUUCUGCCAUGAUUGUGAAGCCUCCCCAGCCAUGUGGAACUGUUAAGUCCAAUAAACCUCUUUUGUAAAU
rnacentral:antisense_RNA from 1 species